AUUGAACGCUGGCGGAAUGCUUUACACAUGCAAGUCGAACGGUAGAGGGGGCAACCCCUCGAGAGUGGCGAACGGGUGAGUAAUAUAUCGGAACGUGCCCAGUCGUGGGGGAUAACGUAGCGAAAGUUACGCUAAUACCGCAUACGAUCUAAGGAUGAAAGCGGGGGAUCGCAAGACCUCGCGCGAUUGGAGCGGCCGAUAUCAGAUUAGGUAGUUGGUGGGGUAAAGGCUCACCAAGCCAACGAUCUGUAGCUGGUCUGAGAGGACGACCAGCAACACUGGAACUGAGACACGGUCCAGACUCCUACGGGAGUCAGCAGUGGGGAAUUUUGGACAAUGGACGCAAGUCUGAUCCAGCCAUUCCGCGUGCAGGAUGAGGGCCCUCGGGUUGUAAACUGCUUUUGUACGGAACGAAAAGGUCUCUCUUAAUACGGGGGACUCAUGACGGUACCGUAAGAAUAAGCACCGGCUAACUACGUGCCAGCAGCCGCCGUAA
rnacentral:rRNA from 1 species